rnacentral:rRNA from 1 species
CCUACGGGCGGCAGCAGUGAGGAAUAUUGGUCAAGGGGCGCGAGCCUGAACCAGCCAAGUAGCGUGAAGGAUGACUGCCCUACGGGUUGUAAACUUCUUUUAUAAAGGAAUAAAGUGAGGCACGUGUGCCUUUUUGUAUGUACUUUAUGAAUAAGGAUCGGCUAACGCCGUGCCAGCAGCCGCGGUAAUACGGAGGAUCCGAGCGUUAUCCGGAUUUAUUGUGUUUAAAGGGAGCGUAGAUGGGUUGUUAAGUCAGUUGUGAUAGUUUGCGGCUCAACCGUAAAAUUGCAAUUGAUACUGGCAGUCUUGAGUACAGUUGAGGUCGUCGGAAUUCGUGUUGUCGCGGUGAAAUGCUUAGAUAUCACG